AGCAGUGUGACAUAGUGGUUUAAGUACUGGACUAUGACUCUGGAGGCCAGGGUUAGAUUCCUAGCGUAGUCA